CUCCACAACAUUCUCUAACAUUUAUGCCCAUUGCCAUUCUCAUACUCUCGACAGCGUCCUUGGCCAUGCGCCCACGCAAUUGCAUUUACAGUUUUACAGUUUUACAGUCGACGUCGCCGUCGCCGUCGCCGUUGCCGUCCGCGUCGUAGUCGUUGUCAGCGUUUUAUUUGCAAUCUAUUUUCACGUUAAUUUAUUGUUGUUACUUUUACGUAGAAAUUAUAAUUUCUGGGUGUACAUUUAACUAUUAUCACGGCAUAUAUUAAUUUACCUAUAAACUCCAUUUUACAUACCCUUCACCCAGUGGAAAAUGAUGGGUAUAUCCAUUUGUUCGAGCAGCAUGCAUUACAGACUGGCGACGCCUUCAUGCAUAUAUAUGUAUAUAUAUAUGUACAGGCCUGUUCCUAUUCUUAUUCUGCUUGUUUAUCGUUUGGCUUAAGCUGGUUUUAGUCUCUCUCCAAAUUUAUUUCAAUAUUCAAAUCUUUUCUUGAAACACAUUUACCAUUUCCAUUUGUAGCUGCACACAUUUCUAGAAUAUUUCAGUUUAUUAGAAGAUAAUCAGAAACUAGCAAAUAAGUUAUUUAAGAGCGACUUUUUCGGAGUGGGAUAUUGUUAACGUUAAUUAUAGGGUGUUUGCCAGUCGAGUAACUUUGUUUAGAGCACGUUUCUUGGCCUUAUGUAAGCAUCUAUACCGUUAUAUUCAGACCUUGUCUACAUAAACUUUACAGAUUCGAGAAGCAACAUGUUUGCAGAACGUGAUUGAAAUGAAAGGCUUUUGUUUCAUUUCUAAUGGUCGAGCAAUUUUCAUAUUAAAUGGUCUUUUCUUUCCCUUGUUUUGGAAUUCGCGGAACUAGUUUGUUUUUCAAAAUGUAUUUAAAAUUUCAGCUAUUCGUUUAAUUCCCUUAAGGUAGAAAAAGCAGCUAAAUACAUUUUUGUAAUACCAAGAAACUUGCCCAAGGGUUUCCAGGGCGUGUUGAAUUUCAAGGCGAAAGACUAUGAGACCUGUCGACUCUAGGGUUUCCAUUGUAAACAUUAAUGAGAAAAUUGAGAAGCGAAACUCAAAUGAAAAUACGUGGAAUACAUUUGAUAAGGUAUAAGCAGUUAGAAGUAAAAUAGAAAUUGAAAAAGAAAUAUAUAAAAUAAAAUAAAUCCAUUACGUAGAAAUCGCUGAAACAAGAGUCGAAAUAAUUAGAAAUCUGUGUAUGUAUGUCCACGUAACAUUACGGGUAUUAUGUUUAUGUUUUUCGAGACAAUGUCAGCUGAUGUUCCGAGUCAAGUGUUUUACUUAACAUUCAUAGUCCGUUCUUAACCCCCUUUUCCAGCAUGGCAUUUGGGAAUUCCAUGAAAUAGCUAUCCAAUUAUUUGCUUGGGCUUGUGGCAAUCUCUAGUAUUUGGUCGACUUUUGUCGGUCAUUUUCCACACAGAUACAUCGAAUUUCUACGAAGAAACUAACUCAAACAAUCACUUUCCGCUCGUUUUCCUCAGAUGCUGGUGGAAUUUUAAAAUAGGUGAAAUACAUAUCCCAAUUACCACCCGAAAGGGGUGUAUUGGCGAAAAGUUAGAAAGCGGCUUUCAAAUUCAUUUUUACCUAGUUAAAUGUCGUCUUUUAGCUCUUACGGUUUGGGCUGCGCAUUGAUCAUCAAUCAUUUAGUUAGUCAAUCAAUCAGUCGGCACAAACAGUUAUAUCGCAGCAUUUUACAGUUAGCUAUGUGCUUUAACAGGGUUGCUGCAGCGCAAUAACAGUUGCUGCAGUGCUUUAACAGAGCAAUAACAGUUGCUGUCAAUUUUAACAUAUUUCACGUUCAUAUACCUGUUAUAUUAUUUAAAUCUUUUUUCGCAAAAGCUCAGCAAGAUCAGCCGCAUCCUGACUGCGCUGCUCAAGCUGUGGCUCAAGCAAUAAGCAGCCAAAAAGCAGCGACGUCGACGUCGACGCUGACUGGCAGGUGAAACGCGUAAAUAAACAAAUGUGUCGGCAGGGAAGCUGCGGCAGCGACCGAAGCAGAGGCGUGUGGGUGGGUGGCAGUGGGUAGCGGGCGCGCGGCACACAAGCUACAUAAGUAAAUGAAUAAAUAAUGUAAACAAAAUAUUAAAUUAGAAGAAAUUUACUUACGCGCAAAGCCGACGCAAACACAAUAGAAUGGAACGAAGUGUGAGAGGUGCGAGAAGGCUGGCACAAAAGCACAUACAUAAGCAAAUUGUGCAAAGACCCAUUAAAAAUAAGCAAAAAAAAAAAAUAGAAAAAAAAAGAAUUACACGCACUCGCCAUCUCUCUCGAUGCUCUCCCUGGUAGCGGUGCUCUGGAUCGGCCGCUGCAGCAUAGUACAGUUUGAGCAGCACAGGGCGUCAGUGCAGCCACUUGUUUCUUUUUUUUUUGCCGCCUUUAGCAAUGUUCACAUAUGCGAAGACAAAUGGCGAAACAGAAGCAAAAAACAUGUUGUUGGUUGAUCUGGCAAUACCCUAGCUUAUUUAAAAGCAAUGGAUAUAUUGUUUAAUAUGCAAAUAACUAUCUCUGAUAUAAAAGAAUUGAUAUUUAUUUGCAAGCAUGCUGAUUUAAAGUUAUUUAAAUCUACUUCAGAGCUUAAAGCUCUUUGAAUAGACAUGUGCAUUGAUUGCAGGGUAUUUGCUCAGCGGUCAAUUCGCUGUGCUCUUUUAUUUGUUUGUUUUCCUGGCUGCUUGAUGUGAAGAUUGUGCAAUAAAGCAACAAUAACAAACAAUUGCUGCUGUUACAGCGGCCGCACACUCAUUGCACACAUACACACAUAUCAAGAUAGAGAUAUGAAUACGUUGAAUAGUGUGAGAGAACGCAAUUAUACUCUCUCGCUCUCUCGAUCGUCACCCACGCACACGCUCUUUCCUACUCUCUCAACACACACACACACACACACACACACAACUCUUUUACACUUUCGUCUUCGUUGUGCUUUGAUAAACCAAUUUGUUCGUCGGCGGCGGCAGCGGUGGAGGCGGCGGCAGUGACGAGAGCAGCGACUGCAAGGCGUGCGUAUCCAUUGUUGCGCUCUCAGCCGGUCAGUUGUUUGGCUGAGCUUUUCCCGUUAGCCCGCUCGCAUUCGCACUCGCAAUCGCGCGCACAUUGCCUAUUAAACACAACACAACUAAAAAGCAAAAAAAAAAAAAAAAACAUACAGAGACCGCGUCACGGCGACGACGGCAACGUGUUUCAGUUUCGAUUGUUUGGCAGGGCAAAAUUAAGAAGCUUCAAAUACGGUUAAUUGUUAUACCUAAACCUGCUAAACACAUACAUACAUGCAUACAUACAAAUAGACAUGCAAGUUUACGCGAAGCUGUGCGAAAUGUUGUUGAGUUGAUCUCCAAAUGUUGUUGUUGUUUACGUGGUUUUCUUUUCUUUUUUUGUUGCUGUUUUGCUCUAGUGUGUGCGUGUGCUUGUCUCUGUUAGAUAAAAGUGCAACAAAUUCGCCAGGCAUAGCAAUUACAAAAACAACAAGCAGGUGGCAAUUGCUUAAAGAGCAGCCAACCGCAAAAAGCAAACCAGAGAGCGUGAGCGAGAGAGAGAGAGAGAGAGCACGAACGCGCGCCAUUGCGAGCGUCUCGCAGUUGAUGGACGAGGGUACUUUGGAAUCGUAAGUAUACACAUAGAUAAGAAAUACAUCCAGAUGACAAUUUGGUUCACUUUAUCUGACAACAAUUUUGGUUGGAUCUAGUGAUAAACUUACGAGAAAAAAAAAAA